GCCUUGGUGGCAAAAUGGUUAAGUACUUGGCUGCUAACUGAAAGGUUGGUGGUUCAAACCCACCCAGCAGCU
rnacentral:tRNA from 1 species